rnacentral:lncRNA from 1 species
CAGAAUUCCUCUCUCCAGGUGGGAACGUGGUGAUGGAAUACGAGAAGUGGGACAGGAAGAUCAACACAGGACCUCUCCCUUCUGAGCCAAACUGACACCUACCUCUUGCCAUGACAGGCCGCUCUUCUGGAGAUUAUAAACAACUAUUUAUUUUUAAUAGAAAUGAGACUGGGGCUUUGGAAGAAGGAACUUCACAAUCAUGUCUGCCCUUAGCCUGACAUCCCCACCAUGUGAGGCUCCAGGACUGCUGUGGCCUCAGCCCUUCUGGGCUCCCGGAGGCCCUGGUUCAUUGCUCUCCCCUCCCCCCUUGGCUGGCCUAGAUGCCUUGUCCUCUUUCUUGGGACGGUGCUCACUGACGGGCCCCAAGGGAGGAGGGAGACACGGCCAGCUGCCAUGCGGGAACAGCUGCCACAGCAUCGCCUCCUCCAGACAUUACUCACCACCCCUGGCUUCCCUGAGCUUCUCACCAGCCCUGGUGGAAGUGAGCAAACACGAUUACUUAUUCUUGUUUUCCCCAUCAGGAGGCCAGGGCGGGGGAAAGGCAGUGUGCCACUGAGUUGUUGGUGCCCUUAGUGCUGGUCGCCCGCAUGUGCUCUAGGGCCUCGGGGCACGGUGCUGGGACAGCUCAGCUGGCAGACCUAGGACAGGGCUGGAAGGUGGGGGGCAGGGCUGGGGUCAGAACUUUUCUCCCUUCUGCCCUCCGGACUCAGGGAGGUCCCUUGGGCAAAUUCCUUGUCCAGACAGAGAUGUGUGGGGCGAGAGACACCCAGUCUCCUUAGGAGCAGUGAGCAGGGGGGGCCCAAGACAACAGCCCUCUGUGGCAGCCUCCAGCCCCAGGACAGUGGCCUGAGUCCUGGGUCACCAUGCUCACUCCACCCAGUGCAGAAUUCUCCAGCGCCCAGCCUUGCAGAGGCAACGCGGCUCCGACACGACCUGUAACCUCUUCCUGCCGCUUCUUUGUCAUGCAACAGCCUUUCCCUCCAAAUCUUUCAAAAUCCUCUUCCCCAGGGGUCACUGCCCUGAUCCUCGGAGCAG